UGGCUCUACGGGACGCAGCAGUAGGGAAUUUUCGUCAAUGGGCGCAAGCCUGAACGAGCAAUGCCGCGUGAACGAGGAAGGUCUUCGGAUCGUAAAGUUCUGUUGAAGGGGAAAAAGAGCGGAGAGAGGAAAUGGUCUCCGAUUGAUAUUACCCUUCGAGGAAGUCACGGCUAACUACGUGCCAGCAGCCGCGGUAAUACGUAGGUGGCGAGCGUUAUCCGGAAUGAUUGGGCGUAAAGGGUGCGGAG
rnacentral:rRNA from 1 species